rnacentral:rRNA from 1 species
AUUGAACGCUGGCGGCAUGCCUACACAUGCCGGUCGAACGGUAACGGGCCUUCGGGUGCCGACGAGUGGCGAACGGGUGAGUAAUACAUCGGAACGUGCCCGAUCGUGGGGGAUAACGAGGCGAAAGCUUUGCUAAUACCGCAUACGAUCUACGGAUGAAAGCAGGGGACCGCAAGGCCUUGCGCGGACGGAGCGGCCGAUGGCAGAGUAGGUAGUUGGUGGGAUAAAAGCUUACCAAGCCGACGAUCUGUAGCUGGUCUGAGAGGAUGAUCAGCCACACUGGGACUGAGACACGGCCCAGACUCCUACGGGAGGCAGCAGUGGGGAAUUUUGGACAAUGGGCGCAAGCCUGAUCCAGCCAUGCCGCGUGCAGGAUGAAGGCCUUCGGGUUGUAAACUGCUUUUGUACGGAACGAAAAGCCUUCUUUUAAUACAGGAGGGUCAUGACGGUACCGUAAGAAUAAGCACCGGCUAACUACGUG